UAGUGGCGAACGGGUGAGUAACACGUGGGCAAUCUGCCCUGCACUCUGGGACAAGCCCUGGAAACGGGGUCUAAUACCGGAUAUGACACGGGAUCGCAUGGUCUCCGUGUGGAAAGCUCCGGCGGUGCAGGAUGAGCCCGCGGCCUAUCAGCUUGUUGGUGGGGUGAUGGCCUACCAAGGCGACGACGGGUAGCCGGCCUGAGAGGGCGACCGGCCACACUGGGACUGAGACACGGCCCAGACUCCUACGGGAGGCAGCAGUGGGGAAUAUUGCACAAUGGGCGCAAGCCUGAUGCAGCGACGCCGCGUGAGGGAUGACGGCCUUCGGGUUGUAAACCUCUUUCAGCAGGGAAGAAGCGCAAGUGACGGUACCUGCAGAAGAAGCACCGGCUAACUACGUGCCAGCAGCCGCGGUAAUACGUAGGGUGCGAGCGUUGUCCGGAAUUAUUGGGCGUAAAGAGCUCGUAGGCGGCUUGUCGCGUCGGAUGUGAAAGCCCGGGGCUUAACCCCGGGUCUGCAUUCGAUACGGGCAGGCUAGAGUUCGGCAGGGGAGAUUGGAAUUCCU
rnacentral:rRNA from 1 species